UCCAUAAUGAGAGGAGCUGGAUCCCGUGGAUGAGGGACUGGGUUGGGCUGAGGAUGGACUGGAUGGCCUUGCAGUGGUACUUAAUGAUACAGAGAAGGCACCAGAUCAUACUAUGGUGGUGCCAGUUGAUACUGUAGAAGAGCAGGGUCAUAUUGGGGUGGCUCGGGAUCCUCCCGCUAUAGGGGUGGCUCAACCUGUGGCA
rnacentral:lncRNA from 1 species